rnacentral:misc_RNA from 1 species
GAUGAAGAACUAGCGAAAUGCGAUACGUAAUGUGAAUUGCAGAAUUCAGUGAAUCAUCGAAUCUUUGAACGCAUAUUGCGCUCUUUGGUAUUCCGAAGAGCAUGCUUGUUUGAGUAUCAGUAAACACCUCAAAGCUUUUGGAUUUUUUAAUCGAAAAGCUUUGGACUUGAGCAAUCCCAACACCAAUCUUUUUGAGAUCGGUGGCGGGUUGCUUGAAAUGCAGGUGCAGCUGGACAUUCUCCUGAGCUAAAAGCAUAUUCAUUUAGUCCCGUCAAACGGAUUAUUACUUUUGCUGCAGCUAACAUAAAGGGAGUUUGACCGUAUUGGCUGACUGAUGCAGGAUUUCACAAGGGUCGGCAACGAUUCUUGUUAAACUCGAUCUCAAAUCAAGUAAGACUACCCGCUGAACUUAAGCAUAUCAAUAAGCGGAGGA